UGUUAGAUACGAGAAAGAAGAAUGUGGCAAUCACACCCAUGAAAAUAAAAUUGGUAGAGUGAGACUCAGACUCAUAUUGUGGAAAUCCGGGUUUAGUGGUGUUGAACAUUGUGGUGGUGAGUGUUUAAGUUGUUCUUCUUAUAUAAACGCAUUUCAAUCAUCUAUAUAGAAUUUAAAA
rnacentral:sRNA from 1 species